rnacentral:rRNA from 1 species
GACGAACGCUGGCGGCGUGCCUAAUACAUGCAAGUCGAACGCACAGUCUAUACGGUCGCUUGCUACACCAUAGACUGUGAGUUGCGAACGGGUGAGUAACGCGUAGGUAACCUGCCUGGUAGCGGGGCAUAACUAUUGUAAACGAUAGCUAAUACCGCAUCAUCUUGAUUAUUGCGUGAUAAUUGAUUGAAAGCUGCUAUUGCAUCACUACUAGAUGGACCUGCGUUGUAUUUGCUAGUAGGUGAGGUAACGGCUCACCUAGGCGGCGAAACAUAGCCGAGCUGGAGAGGUGGUCCGCCACACUGGGACUGGGACCCGGCCCAGACCCCUACGGGAGGCAGCAGGAGGGGAACUUCGGACAUGGACGAAAGGCUGACCGAGGAACUCCGGGGGAGGGAAGAAGGGUCUCGGAUCGUAAAGCUCUGUUGUAAGGGAAGAAAGGGUGUGAGGGUGGAAAGUUCACGCUGUGACGGUACCUUAACAGAAAGGGCCGGCUAACUACGUG